GGACUACCCGGGUAUCUAAUCCCGUUUGCUCCCCUGGCUUUCGCGCCUCAGCGUCAGAAGAGGUCCAGCCGUUCGCUUUCGCCACCGGCGUUCCUUCCGAUAUCAACGCAUUUCACCGCUCCACCGGAAGUUCCAACGGCCCCUACCUCGCUCGAGACCGCCAGUAUCAAAGGCUGUUUUCCGGUUAAGCCGAAAGAUUUCACCCCUGACUUGGCAGUCCGCCUACGCGCCCUUUAAGCCCAGUGAUUCCGAACAACGUUCGCACGGUUCGUCUUACCGCGGCUGCUGGCAC
rnacentral:rRNA from 1 species